rnacentral:sRNA from 1 species
AUACCCCGCAAAGCUUAAAUCCACACACGUGUCGACACGAUGACCUGGGUGCCGGGGGCCUUGAUGCCGCUGGUUGGUCAUUGGGAUACGUGGAGGCCAAACC